rnacentral:lncRNA from 1 species
GGAGGUUUUCAAUGUUUAAGAAACUGUUUAAGAAGUUUUGUUUAUGAUCAAAAUGUGUUUAUUCUCUCAAUUUCUGAACCAAUAAUUGGCUUGUCAUUUUAAAGUCUUAACAAAGUUAUUGUGGCAAAAUAUUUUCUUGAAAAAUAAUGCAUCUGAUUUUCGACUUCCUGUGGCCCUACUAUUAUCCUUACUUCCCAUAACAAAGGUCUCCAACUCAGGCAAAUACAGUCUCUGCAAAGUGGAACUCAAAAUAUUAACAAGUCAUUGCAAGAAGGAACACAGUGUAAAGGAAAUUUGGAUGGGACUGCAAGUAAAAUCAAUGAAGUCUAUCCAAAUGUAGCUCCUGGAGGAAUACAAUCUGUGUCUCUUACAUCAAGAGAGACUUAGUAAAGUCCUCUCCAAGAAUACCAUUUUGUACCAAGGUCAAACCAGAGGAUCACAAGUCUUUACAUGUGACUUAGGAAACAGGAAGAAGCAACCAAACCAAUCUGAGAGAGGCUUCAUUAAGG